rnacentral:lncRNA from 1 species
UGGCCAAUGACUAGGAUUCUCAUCUGUUAGCUCAGUAUCAAUUAUCAUACAUCUAUAUAUUUUAUAAGACUUAUCUUAUCAGACGCCUUAUUGGCGUCCCUCCUAGCUGGUGGAUCACAUCGUGCCGCUGGAGCAGGAGCCGAGGGGAAAGAGAGCGACACUUCCUUUUUCCUCUUCUUAAAUAUGAGUCUCCUUGCUAUGUCACUUCCUGUCUGGAACACCAUUUCUCUACUACAUUUCCCAGAAUCCUCUUUGACUCCUAGUCCAGCCUAACCUGCUGUCACAUUGGCCAAGCAAGUACUUUAUUUAUAAACAUACGCAGAAGUAUUUCCCCCAUCAUCUCUUAUUUUCUGUCUAAAUAAAAAGGGUAACUUAUUUUUUAUAAUAACUGAAGAAAACUAUAACCAUAACUAUCUGUCUUCAACUCUAUCAAAGACCACAGAAGGAUAAUAUAUAAACUCUAGAAUUGACAGGACAUCUUGCUACCUGGACAGUCACCCAAAGUUCCUCUGUAAUGUUGGGGCAUCCAUCUUCAGCCUAUAGGCCACAGUGUGUCUGGCACACUCCUCCUUUUUAACAGGAACCCUUCAGUUUUGUAAGUUUAGCAGUCAUUUUCUUGUGGGUCCUGUAUGUCCAAUUUAUACAGCAACAAACAGUCCAGGCAAGAGCAGUUUCUUGUCCAAAUGGCUAGUCUUGCCAUGUUGAAAGCAAACUCCAUAACGAGUUUCUUCGAUGCCCAUCCUCCUUUCUGACAUAAUUGGUGUGCCAGGAGCAGUUGUGUCUCACUGCCAAGAAAAACCCUAAACCAUUUAAAUGCCAUAUUUCUGUAGGUCUUUGAAAGGUUUGAAGAACACCUAACCAUCUCAAAUACAUCUCUAUAUCUAGAAAACCUAACUAACCUAAUUAUAAGUUCUGACUAUUAUAGGUAAAAGAUCUGUAUAAACACAAUACCUAAACAAGAGUAGACAUAUACAUAUCACAAAACUGACCUUAAAGUUGUAUCAAUAAAUGAAAAUCUUUACCAAUUUAAAGUAUUCAUUCCUAUAUCCUAUUCCCCUUUUCUUUCUUUAAAAAGAGAUUGACUAUGCUCAUUAUCAUUUAUAACUAACCUCAUUUAAAUGAAAAAAACAUUUAUAAACAAUACUUGGGAAUAUGGGUGUCGUUCUUUCUAAACUGCUUCCUGCUGAUUGGGGGCGAUGUUCAUAUACCAUUAGGAUCAUGAUAAAACAUAGAAACCUGACCAAGUCCUUGUUUUUAUAGUCUGUAAGGCUGUAUCAUCUCAGCUUCAGGGGGUCUUGCUUGAUCAAACCAUAUUAGUCUGGAAGGAAUCCACAGCUUCUGAUUUUCUGUGUAAAUACAAGUAAAACCUUUAUUUCUAAGUAGACUGUCCUUAAACUCAAAUCCUGAAGUUAGAGCAUUUUUAAAAUGUAUAAGUUGGAUUAAUUUAGCAGCAUUUAUAAUCAAAUGUAUUUUAGCAGCAGUAAUUCUUUCCUCGGCAAUCAAACAAUUUAAAGACAACAGUAUGGCAUUUAGUAUCCAGAUUCUCUGUGUAUUUUUCAUCUCUAGGUGGCUUUUUUACUAUUCUACUUUUACUUCCUUUUGUUUCUUUUUUUUUUUUCUGAGACGGUUUCUCUGUGGAAAUCUGCCUGCCUCUGCUUCCUUCAGCAAAUUCUACCGGCAUUGGCCACCAUAACCCGGCUAUUCUAUUUCCUCCUGUUACUUUUUCUCUCACAAGCCUACAUAUAUUUUUAAAUGUAGUGUAAACCUUUAGAGGUUUUUCUUUAUCUGGAUCUGUCUUUAUCAUCUCAGAAGUGCCGAGUCUAAACCCCAGAAGCAAGCGCCGGGACGGCGCGAGCAUAUGGAAGCUGCUCCCAUGCAGCUCAGCGGCCCAAAUGAAUACACAGAGAGACUUGUAUUAGUUACAAUGCUGCUUGGCCAAUGACUAGGAUUCUCAUCUGUUAGCUCAGUAUCAAUUAUCAUACAUCUAUAUAUUUUAUAAGACUUAUCUUAUCAGACGCCUUAUUGGCGUCCCUCCUAGCUGGUGGAUCACAUCGUGCCGCUGGAGCAGGAGCCGAGGGGAAAGAGAGCGACACUGCUCUUAUGGAAAACCCGAGAGAGGUUCCUAGCACCCAUGUUAGGAGGCGCACAACCAUUCUUGCUGGAGAUAUAGAAGACACAGACAUUCCCUUGAUACCUGUGUUCACACACACC